rnacentral:rRNA from 1 species
GACGAACGCUGGCGGCGUGCUUAACACAUGCAAGUCGAACGGAAAGGCCCUGCUUUUGUUGGGUGCUCGAGUGGCGAACGGGUGAGUAACACGUGAGUAACCUGCCCUUGACUUUGGGAUAACUUCAGGAAACUGGGGCUAAUACCGGAUAGGAGCUCCUGCUGCAUGGUGGGGGUUGGAAAGUUUCGGCGGUUGGGGAUGGACUCGCGGCUUAUCAGCUUGUUGGUGGGGUAGUGGCUUACCAAGGCUUUGACGGGUAGCCGGCCUGAGAGGGUGACCGGCCACAUUGGGACUGAGAUACGGAGCAGACUCCUACGGGAGGCAGCAGUGGGGAAUAUUGCACAAUGGGCGGAAGCCUGAUGCAGCGACGCCGCGUGCGGGAUGACGGCCUUCGGGUUGUAAACCGCUUUAGCCUGUGACGAAGCGUGAGUGACGGUAAUGGGUAAAGAAGCACCGGCUAACUACGUG